UACGUAGGGUGCAAGCGUUAAUCGGAAUUACUGGGCGUAAAGCGUGCGCAGGCGGCUUUGCAAGACAGAUGUGAAAUCCCCGGGCUUAACCUGGGAACUGCAUUUGUGACUGCAUGGCUGGAGUGCGGCAGAGGGGGAUGGAAUUCCACGUGUAGCGGUGAAAUGCGUAGAGAUGUGGAGGAACACCGAUGGCGAAGGCAGCCUUCUGGGCCAACACUGACGCUUAUGCACGAAAGCGUGGGGAGCAAACAGG
rnacentral:rRNA from 1 species